rnacentral:rRNA from 1 species
UACGUAGGGUGCGAGCGUUAAUCGGAAUUACUGGGCGUAAAGCGUGCGCAGGCGGUUUCUUAAGUCAGAUGUGAAAGCCCCGGGCUUAACCUGGGAACUGCGUUUGAAACUGGGAGACUUGAGUGUGGCAGAGGGGGGUGGAAUUCCACGUGUAGCAGUGAAAUGCGUAGAUAAUGGUGGAGGAACACCAAUGGCGAAGGCAGCCCC